CUAACCAGCCAUAUCACCCUGCAGCCGAAGACUGGUUACUCACUGAAGCUAAGCAGUAAGCUGAGCCUGAUCAGUACCUGGAUGGGAGACCACUUUGGUAAAAUAAGUUGCUGUUUGAA
rnacentral:rRNA from 1 species